rnacentral:lncRNA from 1 species
AAAAAUCCUUUAUUCAUCAACAUUCCCAGCGCCAAUGUCAAACCAGUCGAGCUCCAACAAAUCAAGGAAAAUAGAACCCAUAAAUCAAGAUGAAAUUUUCAGCAGCAAGAACAGAAAUGAAGAUAGAAAUUUUUAGCCGCAAGAACUCAAAACACAAAAAUUGCUCCAACGAAUCAAGGAAAAAAGAAGUCUCGGCAUCGGCGUCGCUGCUCUUAAUGUCGGCGAGGCCAGCUCCUUCGCCUUCAACUUUCCUUCUAUCUCUCUUCUAUCAGAAUGUAGAUCCAACCCUUGUUCCCAUCCUCAACAUCCAACCCAUUACUGUACAAACCCCCAUUCAACCCAUCUCUCGUACCAGAACACACGCAUCUCAAAAUACACACAUAUCCCUCUCUGCGGCUGUUGCGCCGCUGCUACGAGUCCGACGUGUGUUUGUCGCCCUCACCUAGCCUCUCAUUCCCAGAUCUAGCGCAAUGGCGAGAAAAGAGCCGCGCUAACGCGCCGUCGCCUUCACCUCUGCACCGCCGCCAAAGCUCCUCAUCGAAGGCACUACGAGUGAAGAGAACAACGACUGUAGGGCGAGAUGCUCGCGAACUGUCUCGCCACCGGCAUCGUCGUCGAGGAGAAAAGUGUAGAGAGACAGAGGCGGUGACAAAAUCGGUGAAAAGAGAGAGACAAGCGAACUGAAAAAACUAAAGAGAAAGAGAGAGGGCUCUGCAUAGAUCGGCGAAAAGGGUGGAAAUUAGAUAGAAUUAGGGUUUUAUACGGUAAUUAAGUAUGUAAUUAAUUUAGCUCUGAU